ACUCGAACCCGCUGUCUCUGA
rnacentral:miRNA from 1 species